CUACACGUAAGCUAACUACUUAUUUAUCCUAGAUGUAAGUAGUUAGGUUACUUUCCGUAUUUCUAUUCAGGCGCACCAGGAUUGUCGCCUUUCACCAUAAAUGCCUUAAAUACUCGACUACAUUUACAAGUUGUAGCGGCCCCCAUGAUUUUGCAGACAUUUAAUUUUACGAUUCUACGGACUUCGUGACUCGGCCAGAGAAAUAAAAAGAAGGGGAGGAUAUCGAAGGGAUGGAAUUUCCUGGCUGUUGUGCGCGUUAAAAAAUCUUCGAUCAAUAAUCACAGCAUACAAGAUGCGGGUGGUGGAACUGACACCCGGGUAGUAUCCAGCUUUUGGGAAUUUUUAGCCCAAUUUUGUGCUAUGCAAAGCUUUCUCUGCUUUCUCUCCAAACGUCAACGCUCCCAUGAACUCGCAAUUUUCCCCUUAAAUCCUGACCUCAUUG